rnacentral:rRNA from 1 species
AGUGGCAGACGGGUGAGUAAUGUAUAGGAAUCUACCUAGUAGUACGGAAUAAUUGUUGGAAACGGCAACUAAUACCGUAUACGCCCUACGGGGGAAAGAUUUAUCGCUAUUAGAUGAGCCUAUAUUAGAUUAGCUAGUUGGUAAGGUAAUGGCUUACCAAGGCAAUGAUCUAUAGCUGAUCUGAGAGGAUGAUCAGCCACACUGGAACUGAGAUACGGUCCAGACUCCUACGGGAGGCAGCAGUGGGGAAUAUUGGACAAUGGGCGAAAGCCUGAUCCAGCCAUGCCGCAUGAGUGAAGAAGGNCUUUGGGUUGUAAAGCUCUUUCGGUGAGGAAGAUAAUGACGGUACUCACAGAAGAAGUCCUGGCUAACUCCGUGCCAGCAGCCGCGGUAAUACNGAGAGGGCUAGCGUUA